rnacentral:rRNA from 1 species
AUGGAUGGAUGGAUUCAGGAAGACGGAAGAAAAAGCAACAUGAAGUUCCUGUCUGCAUCAAGUAUAUUCUGCCGAAUUUCUUCCUUCUAUGGGACUGUACAUGGGGAUUAUCUACAAGGGUUAUGUCCUUUCCAGGUAGAUUAUCUUAUAGGACGGGCGAAAUGCAACAGAAGAAGCUCCUCCGCUGCUACUCGCCAAACUCCAAGCAAAAAGGACCUUCCACUUUCCUUGCUAAUGGUAAAUUACCAUGGUACUUAUCUAAUGCGAUUUGUAAAGUUUUACCAAUCUGGAGGAUAUUCAAUACCAAGAUUUAUGAUUUGGCAUAAAUUUCAUCCAGGAAAUUUAGUCCUAGGGACUUUGAUAUACAAUGAUACACCAAAGCAAGCAAAGAAGCCAAAAGAAGUUAAAUGUUUUUACCUGCUGCUGGCAUCCGAUGAGCAGUUGCAGGUGUCAACCAUAGUAUUGUUAUAUGAAGUGAGAGUUGCAUGUGCUUAUCUGAAGCUUAUACUAAUAAUUUGCCUCCCUAAUUGUGGCUGA